GUAGGUGAACCUGCGGAAGGAUCAUUAAUGAAUGCAGAUUCCUGUCGAGCUUGCUCACGGGAUUUCAUCAUAUCCAUAACACCUGUGCACUUGUUGGAUGGUAUAACAGAGCCCUAGUGGUGAAGUUGUCCAUCUAAUUUACACUAAACAAUCCUGUAACAAAUGUAGUCUUAUUAUAACAUAAUAAAACUUUCAACAACGGAUCUCUUGGCUCUC
rnacentral:misc_RNA from 1 species